UGGGGAAUUUUCCGCUAUGGGCGAAAGCCUGACGGAACAAUACCGCGUGAGGGAAGAAUGCCUAUGGGUUGUAAACCUCUUUUUUCNGGGAGGAAUAAAAUGACGUGUACCUGAAGAAUAAGCAUCGGCUAACUCCGUGCCAGCAGCCGCGGUAAGACGGAGGAUGCAAGUGUUAUCCGGAAUCACUGGGCGUAAAGCGUCUGUAGGUGGUUUAAUAAGUCAACUGUUAAAUCUUGAGGCUCAACUUCAAAAUCGCAGUCGAAACUAUUAGACUAGAGUAUAGUAGGGGUAAAGGGAAUUUCCAGUGGAGCGGUGAAAUGCGUAGAUAUUGGAAAGAACACCGAUGGCGAAAGCACUUUACUGGGCUAUUACUAACACUCAGAGACGAAAGCUAGGGUAGCAAAUGGGAUUAGAUACCCCAGUAGUCCUAGCCGUAAACUAUGGAUACUAGAUGUUGAACAGAUCGACCUGUGCAGUAUCAAAGCUAACGCGUUAAGUAUCCCGCCUGGGAAGUAUGCUCGCAAGAGUG
rnacentral:rRNA from 1 species